GGGUAUAGUUCAGUUGGUAGAACGACGGUCUCCAAAACCGUAUGUCGAGGGUUCGAGUCCUUCUGCCC
rnacentral:tRNA from 1 species